rnacentral:lncRNA from 1 species
GAGUAACGAAACAGAAGGCUUUUCUGGAAGGCCACGGCAAACCAGCGUUUGUUCCAUGUUUGUGUCGCUGAGGUGCUUUGCUGCGUCCCCACUGGACUGUUAGCUUCUGCAACUGUGAGCCUGGCUCAUCCGCUGUCGCAGCUCCAGGGCUCAUCAGGGCGUGUUGCUCAUGGUAAGUGCUCGGUAAAACAUUUAUUCAGUGAAUGAAUAAAUAAAUGGAGGUAAAAGCA